AAAGGCCUUCAUUCACACUAUAACGAACAAGUCUUUCGCCUUUUACUAAAGACUUCUGUGGAGAGUGACUCCAACGAGUUUANCAAAUCAGUUUGAAGAGAGAAUGGUUUUAAUCUG
rnacentral:snRNA from 1 species